GGUUAAGCGACUAAGCGUACACGGUGGAUGCCCUGGCAGUCAGAGGCGAUGAAGGACGUGCUAAUCUGCGAUAAGCGUCGGUAAGGUGAUAUGAACCGUUAUAACCGGCGAUUUCCGAAUGGGGAAACCCAGUGUGAUUCGUCACACUAUCAUUAACUGAAUCCAUAGGUUAAUGAGGCGAACCGGGGGAACUGAAACAUCUAAGUACCCCGAGGAAAAGAAAUCAACCGAGAUUCCCCCAGUAGCGGCGAGCGAACGGGGAGCAGCCCAGAGCCUGAAUCAGUGUGUGUGUUAGUGGAAGCGUCUGGAAAGGCGCGCGAUACAGGGUGACAGCCCCGUACACAAAAAUGCACAUGCUGUGAGCUCGAUGAGUAGGGCGGGACACGUGGUAUCCUGUCUGAAUAUGGGGGGACCAUCCUCCAAGGCUAAAUACUCCUGACUGACCGAUAGUGAACCAGUACCGUGAGGGAAAGGCGAAAAGAACCCCGGCGAGGGGAGUGAAAAAGAACCUGAAACCGUGUACGUACAAGCAGUGGGAGCACAGAGCAAUCUGUGUGACUGCGUACCUUUUGUAUAAUGGGUCAGCGACUUAUAUUCUGUAGCAAGGUUAACCGAAUAGGGGAGCCGAAGGGAAACCGAGUCUUAACUGGCGUUAAGUUGCAGGGUAUAGACCCGAAACCGGUGAUCUAGCCAUGGGCAGGUUGAAGUUGGGUAACACUAACUGGAGGACGAACCGACUAAUGUUGAAAAAUUAGCGGAUGACUUGUGGCUGGGGUGAAAGGCCAAUCAAACCGGGAGAUAGCUGGUUCUCCCCGAAAGCUAUUUAGGUAGCGCCUCGUGAAUUCAUCUCCGGGGGUAGAGCACUGUUUCGGCAAGGGGGUCAUCCCGACUUACCAACCCGAUGCAAACUGCGAAUACCGGAGAAUGUUAUCACGGGAGACACACGGCGGGUGCUAACGUCCGUCGUGAAGAGGGAAACAACCCAGACCGCCAGCUAAGGUCCCAAAGUCAUGGUUAAGUGGGAAACGAUGUGGGAAGGCCCAGACAGCCAGGAUGUUGGCUUAGAAGCAGCCAUCAUUUAAAGAAAGCGUAAUAGCUCACUGGUCGAGUCGGCCUGCGCGGAAGAUGUAACGGGGCUAAACCAUGCACCGAAGCUGCGGCAGCGACACUAUGUGUUGUUGGGUAGGGGAGCGUUCUGUAAGCCUGUGAAGGUGUACUGUGAGGUAUGCUGGAGGUAUCAGAAGUGCGAAUGCUGACAUAAGUAACGAUAAAGCGGGUGAAAAGCCCGCUCGCCGGAAGACCAAGGGUUCCUGUCCAACGUUAAUCGGGGCAGGGUGAGUCGACCCCUAAGGCGAGGCCGAAAGGCGUAGUCGAUGGGAAACAGGUUAAUAUUCCUGUACUUGGUGUUACUGCGAAGGGGGGACGGAGAAGGCUAUGUUGGCCGGGCGACGGUUGUCCCGGUUUAAGCGUGUAGGCUGGUUUUCCAGGCAAAUCCGGAAAAUCAAGGCUGAGGCGUGAUGACGAGGCACUACGGUGCUGAAGCAACAAAUGCCCUGCUUCCAGGAAAAGCCUCUAAGCAUCAGGUAACAUCAAAUCGUACCCCAAACCGACACAGGUGGUCAGGUAGAGAAUACCAAGGCGCUUGAGAGAACUCGGGUGAAGGAACUAGGCAAAAUGGUGCCGUAACUUCGGGAGAAGGCACGCUGAUAUGUAGGUGAAGCGACUUGCUCGUGGAGCUGAAAUCAGUCGAAGAUACCAGCUGGCUGCAACUGUUUAUUAAAAACACAGCACUGUGCAAACACGAAAGUGGACGUAUACGGUGUGACGCCUGCCCGGUGCCGGAAGGUUAAUUGAUGGGGUCAGCGCAAGCGAAGCUCUUGAUCGAAGCCCCGGUAAACGGCGGCCGUAACUAUAACGGUCCUAAGGUAGCGAAAUUCCUUGUCGGGUAAGUUCCGACCUGCACGAAUGGCGUAAUGAUGGCCAGGCUGUCUCCACCCGAGACUCAGUGAAAUUGAACUCGCUGUGAAGAUGCAGUGUACCCGCGGCAAGACGGAAAGACCCCGUGAACCUUUACUAUAGCUUGACACUGAACAUUGAGCCUUGAUGUGUAGGAUAGGUGGGAGGCUUUGAAGUGUGGACGCCAGUCUGCAUGGAGCCGACCUUGAAAUACCACCCUUUAAUGUUUGAUGUUCUAACGUUGACCCGUAAUCCGGGUUGCGGACAGUGUCUGGUGGGUAGUUUGACUGGGGCGGUCUCCUCCUAAAGAGUAACGGAGGAGCACGAAGGUUGGCUAAUCCUGGUCGGACAUCAGGAGGUUAGUGCAAUGGCAUAAGCCAGCUUGACUGCGAGCGUGACGGCGCGAGCAGGUGCGAAAGCAGGUCAUAGUGAUCCGGUGGUUCUGAAUGGAAGGGCCAUCGCUCAACGGAUAAAAGGUACUCCGGGGAUAACAGGCUGAUACCGCCCAAGAGUUCAUAUCGACGGCGGUGUUUGGCACCUCGAUGUCGGCUCAUCACAUCCUGGGGCUGAAGUAGGUCCCAAGGGUAUGGCUGUUCGCCAUUUAAAGUGGUACGCGAGCUGGGUUUAGAACGUCGUGAGACAGUUCGGUCCCUAUCUGCCGUGGGCGCUGGAGAAUUGAGGGGGGCUGCUCCUAGUACGAGAGGACCGGAGUGGACGCAUCACUGGUGUUCGGGUUGUCAUGCCAAUGGCACUGCCCGGUAGCUAAAUGCGGAAGAGAUAAGUGCUGAAAGCAUCUAAGCACGAAACUUGCCCCGAGAUGAGUUCUCCCUGACUCCUUGAGAGUCCUGAAGGAACGUUGAAGACGACGACGUUGAUAGGCCGGGUGUGUAAGCGCAGCGAUGCGUUGAGCUAACCGGUACUAAUGAACCGUGAGGCUUAACCUU
rnacentral:rRNA from 1 species